rnacentral:tRNA from 1 species
GGGUCCGUAGCUUAGUCGGUAGACAGAAAAUCUUAAGACUUUCAGGCCGGAAGUACUCGGCUGUUAACCGGGUGGUCCCAGGUUCGAGCCCUGGCGGGCCCGCCA